rnacentral:rRNA from 1 species
UACGUAGGGGGCGAGCGUUAUCCGGAAUUAUUGGGCGUAAAGAGUGCGUAGGUGGUUACCUAAGCGCAGGGUUUAAGGCAAUGGCUCAACCAUUGUUCGCCUUGCGAACUGGGCUACUUGAGUGCAGGAGAGGAAAGCGGAAUUCCUAGUGUAGCGGUGAAAUGCGUAGAUAUUAGGAGGAACACCAGUGGCGAAGGCGGCUUUCUGGACUGUAACUGACACUGAGGCACGAAAGCGUGGGGAGCAAACAGG